rnacentral:tRNA from 1 species
GUAGUGGCUCAGUGGUAGAGUGCUUGCCUGGCAUGUGUGAGGCCCCUGGGUUCAAUCCUCAGGACCACA